ensembl:lncRNA
GUGCCCACUAAAGGGUAGGAUUAAAAGGCAGCUAGCUAAUAAACAUAAACACAGUUGAAGGAAAUUUAGUUACUAACUGAAAGGUGAAAAUAAAUAGAAAUAGGUAGAAAUAUCAACAUGGGGAUUUUACUGAAUAACAUGAUCAGUCAUUUGUGGUGUUUUUUGUAACGCUGACUCAUCAUGUUAUUAAACCUAAAGGUCGUUUUGUCCUCUAAGAAAAUCUCUGAAAGGAAUGGCACUUUCUAAUAUCCACUGUCAUUGGCUGGAUUGCUGGUCAACUUCAAAGCUAUUAGAGCAGCACAAGGUCAGUGGUUGUAAAACAGCUUGUUUUCUGGUGGUAGAGUCAAUGGACCGAGGAGAAGGUAGAGGACGAGUUUGUCGCGGUUAAGGUGCUCAAGCCUCAACUGACCUUUAGUCAGUAUUCUUCUGGAAACCACCCUGACCCACAAACCACUCUGGAUCACUUGCCUCUGGCUCCUCACUUCCCCUCUCAGCUCAACCUGUACCUACUUGGUUCAACUCGACUCUACUCAGUUUUGAGCGUCUUCCAUUACUGUCGAGUACCACCGCUAUGUACUUGGGGUCGUUACAGCAAUGUGGCCGAAAGUCCCGUGACAUCAUUUGUAUGUGACACAAUGCAACAAUGGAGGAAAUGGAGGUGAUGGUAUACCUGCUGCAUAACCAAUGCCAUCCUCUUCCGCUUAUCCGGGGCCGGGUUGCAGGGGCAGCAGUCUAAGCAGAGACGCCCAGACACCUCUCUUCCCAGCCACCUCUCUUCCCAGCCACCUCCUCCAGCUCCUCCGGGGGAACACCAAGGUAUUCCCAGGCCACCCGAGAGAUAUAAUCUCUCCAGCAUGUCCUUCUCCCUUGGUUUAUGCCCGGAACACCUCACCCAGGAGGCGCCCAGGAUGCAUCCUUAUCAGAUGGCUGAACCAUCUCAACUGGAUCCCUUCGAUGUGGAGGAGCAGCGGCUCUACUCUGAGCCCCUCCUGGAUGGCCGAACCUCUCACCUUGUCUCUAAGGGAGAGGCCAGCCACCCUUUGGAGGAAGCUCAUUUCUGCCGCUUGUAUCCACAAUUCAUUCGGUCACUACCCACAGCUAGAUGAGCAUAGGGACAUAGAUCGACCGGUAAACUGAGAGCCAAUUGAGAUACCAUGUUCUGACUGAGAGAUUUCUGAAAAAAUUCAAACAUACAGCUCUGCUAUCACUUCCAACAUAAAUGAAGACAGAAAACUAAACAGCAGUGACGUUUGUAGGGUUACUGAAGUUGGGCUAGCUGGUAUAUAAUGAUGUGCUACGUUAUCGCUAGCGACACAGCUAUGUUAGCAUAACAUAAACACAGUGAAGCUGGAGGAUGAACGCCAACUUUUUUCCACUCAAUAAAACUUAACAUUAGUGUUCCCGAUGGUUAGGGACAAAUGCAGUCCACAAUAUGAGGUUAGUUAUUAAUAUACUGCAACAACAUGGGAAUAGAGCAGAAGAAUGAGUUGAGUAAAAUUUGAGUUAUCUUAUUGUUUUGGUUUGCUUAAUGCGCCUUAGUAUCCGGUGCGCCUUAUGUAUGAAAACAGACCUUUUCAUCGACAGUGUGGCUUAUAAUGAGGUGUGCCUUAUGGUCCAAAAAAUACGGUAUAAAUUGAUGACAAUUCAAAAACUUUAAGUACUGUUUAAGAGUCACUGCAGCUCUAAUAAUCAUAGAUCUGGCAGUUUAAUUCCUGGCCUUCUGAGUCUGCAGGAAGGGGUUCAGUAUCUUUACCCAGGGACACUUGGGCACACAUUUCCCCCAACACUUAAAAAAUAGUAUUUAUAGUAUUUAGUAAAAUUAUUGCUCAUGUUUAUGAGGGACGCUAAUCUUUUUUGUUUGUUUGUUUUUGUUUUUAGUAAAUGAAUCAAUUGGAUUUUGAUUGUGUGUGACAGAAAGAGCUUAAAAGACAUAGAAUAAUAACUAUAACAGAAUUGUAUGUAUAGCUUACAAUAAAAAGUGCUCUGAGUGCUCAGGUAGAGCAGUAGAGCUUGAUAUAAUUUCCACCCUAUUUACUUUGUACAGAAGAAUAAAUGGAUGUAAACUGCAAC